UUCGAGCGUCAUUAUCACCCAUCAAGCCCGGCUUGGUAUUGGGCGUCGUCCCCUGCGGACGAUCCCUAAAGACCUCGGCGGUGGCACUGAACCUCAAGCGUAGUAGAAUCUUUAGCUUUUUAGGUCCACUGCUGCUUAGCCCCCAGAAAACCUCACCUAAGGUUGACCUCGGAUCAGGUAGGGAUACCCGCUGAACUUAA
rnacentral:misc_RNA from 1 species